AUUGAACGCUGGCGGCAUGCCUUACACAUGCAAGUCGAACGGCAGCAUGGAAGAGCUUGCUCUUCUGAUGGCGAGUGGCGAACGGGUGAGUAAAGCAUCGGAACGUACCGUGUAGUGGGGGAUAACGUAGCGAAAGUUACGCUAAUACCGCAUACGCACUGAGGUGGAAAGCAGGGGAUCGCAAGACCUCGCGCGAUUAGAGCGGCCGAUGCCUGAUUAGCUUGUUGGUGGGGUAAAAGCCCACCAAGGCGACGAUCAGUAGCUGGUCUGAGAGGACGAUCAGCCACACUGGGACUGAGACACGGCCCAGACUCCUACGGGAGGCAGCAGGUGGGGAAUUUUUGGACAAUGGGGGAAACCCUGAUCCAGCAAUGCCGCGUGAGUGAAGAAGGCCUUCGGGUUGUAAAGCUCUUUUGUCAGGGAAGAAACACCGGCUCUAACACAGUCCGGGAAUGACGGUACCUGAAGAAUAAGCACCGGCUAACUACGUG
rnacentral:rRNA from 1 species